GUGGGUGAGCCAAACGGUUAGGCGACCGGCUUCCAAAUCCGGUGAGAAGCAGGUUCGAGUCCUGCCACCCAUGCGA
rnacentral:tRNA from 1 species